rnacentral:rRNA from 1 species
CCUACGGGUGGCAGCAGUGGGGAAUAUUGGACAAUGGGGGCAACCCUGAUCCAGCCAUGCCGCGUGUGUGAAGAAGGCCCUCGGGUUGUAAAGCACUUUCAGUGAGGAAGAACGCCUGGUGGUUAAUACCCAUCAGGAAAGACAUCACUCACAGAAGAAGCACCGGCUAACUCCGCGCCAGCAGCCGCGGUAAUACGGAGGGUGCGAGCGUUAAUCGGAAUUACUGGGCGUAAAGCGCGCGUAGGUGGCUUGAUAAGCCGGUUGUGAAAGCCCCGGGCUCAACCUGGGAACGGCAUCCGGAACUGUCAAGCUAGAGUGCAGGAGAGGAAGGUAGAAUUCCCGGUGUAGCGGUGAAAUGCGUAGAGAUCGGGAGGAAUACCAGUGGCGAAGGCGGCCUUCUGGACUGACACUGACACUGAGGUGCGAAAGCGUGGGUAGCAAACAGGAUUAGAUACCCGUGUAGUC